GCGUUACUCGGAAUUACUGGGCGUAAAGCGUGCGUAGGUGGCCUGUUAAGUCUGAUGUGAAAGCCCCGGGCUCAACCUGGGAAUUGCAUUGGAUACUGGCAGGCUAGAGUGCGGUAGAGGGUAGUGGAAUUCCCGGUGUAGCAGUGAAAUGCGUAGAGAUCGGGAGGAACACCAGUGGCGAAGGCGACUACCUGGACCAGCACUGACACUGAGGCACGAAAGCGUG
rnacentral:rRNA from 1 species